rnacentral:rRNA from 1 species
AUUGAACGCUGGCGGCAGGCCUAACACAUGCAAGUCGGACGGUAGCACAGAGAGCUUGCUCUUGGGUGACGAGUGGCGGACGGGUGAGUAAUGUCAGGGGAUCUGCCCGAUAGAGGGGGAUAACCACUGGAAACGGUGGCUAAUACCGCAUAACGUCGCAAGACCAAAGAGGGGGACCUUCGGGCCUCUCACUACCGGAUGAACCCAGAUGGGAUUAGCUAGUAGGCGGGGUAAUGGCCCACCUAGGCGACGAUCCCUAGCUGGUCUGAGAGGAUGACCAGCCACACUGGAACUGAGACACGGUCCAGACUCCUACGGGAGGCAGCAGUGGGGAAUAUUGCACAAUGGGCGCAAGCCUGAUGCAGCCAUGCCGCGUGUAUGAAGAAGGCCUUCGGGUUGUAAAGUACUUUCAGCGGGGAGGAAGGCGGUGAGGUUAAUAACCUUGCCGAUUGACGUUACCCGCAGAAGAAGCACCGGCUAACUUCGUGCCAGCAGCCGCAGUAA